GAUGAACGCUGGCGGCGUGCCUAAUACAUGCAAGUCGAGCGAACGGACGAGAAGCUUGCUUCUCUGAUGUUAGCGGCGGACGGGUGAGUAACACGUGGAUAACCUACCUAUAAGACUGGGAUAACUUCGGGAAACCGGAGCUAAUACCGGAUAAUAUUUUGAACCGCAUGGUUCAAAAGUGAAAGACGGUCUUGCUGUCACUUAUAGAUGGAUCCGCGCUGCAUUAGCUAGUUGGUAAGGUAACGGCUUACCAAGGCAACGAUGCAUAGCCGACCUGAGAGGUGGAUCGGCCACACUGGAACAAAAAGCCGGUCCAGACUCCGACGGGAGGCAGCAGUAGGGAAUCUUCCGCAAUGGGCGGAAGCCUGACGGAGCAACGCCGCGUGAGUGAUGAAGGUCUUCGGAUCGUAAAACUCUGUUAUUAGGGAAGAACAUAUGUGUAAGUAACUGUGCACAUCUUGACGGUACCUAAUCAGAAAGCCACGGCUAACUACGUG
rnacentral:rRNA from 1 species